CGCGAAAGAAGUCUGAUCACUAUUGCAGUCGGCUUCUCGAAACCCUAAUACAGGGCCACUGGUUUCGCUCCGCACUUCCGCCGCUAUGGCCGCCGCAACCUUCUCCGCCGCCGGCCGCCGGCUCCUCUCCACCGCCGCGGCAGCGGCAGAGAAAACCGAGCUCCCCGUCCCUAUCGCCCGUCUUCGCCAGCUCGCCCGCGCUGGCCGCCUCGACGACAUCGACGCGACUCUCGCGCCCCUGUUCCCUUCCCACCCCGUCGCCGCGCUCUCGGCCCUCUCCACGCUGGGCCUCCCCGACCGCGCCUCCGCUCUGCUCGGCACCAUGACGUCGCCCAAUACCGCGCACCUGAACGCGGUCCUCGGUCCACUCCUCCGCCGCCGCCGCCUGGCCGGGCUCGUGCCCUCAAUCCUCGCCGCGCAUGCCUCUGUCCCGCGGGACGCCGUCACGGACAGCAUCCUCGCCAAGUCGCUCUGCCUCACCUCCGGCGCCGACUCCGCGCUCCACCUCCUCCGGAAGCCUUCGUCGGGAGCGCCGCCGUCGCUCCAGCUCUUCACAACCAUCAUCGACUCCUUCUACAAGCAACGCCUCCCGCACCGCGCCGAGGAGAUGUGGCGCGCCAUGGUCCAGGACCACGGCAUCGCCCCCGACACCGCUGCCUACAACGCCCUGCUCACCUACAAGUCCACCAACGGCACCGUGGAUGAGGUCAAGGAGGUGAUCCGCGUCAUGCGCGAGGAGGCCAGCCUACGGCCGGAUGUCGGGUCCUACAACGCGCUGAUGCGGGCGAUGGCGCGGCACAAAAGAUUGGAUGAGGCGGUGGAGGUGUACCGCAGCCUGGAGGCCGGGAAGAAGGCGGACGUGGUGCCGGACUGCGCGACAUAUAGUUGCGUGGUGGGCGCACUUUGUGGCGCAGGGCGGUGGUCGGAGGCGGAGGACGUGUUCUACGCGGGAGUGAAGCGCCGGAAGGUGGCCGACCUUGGAACGGUGCGUGUGCUGGUGCGCGGUCUUAAGGACGCUGGCAAGGGGCGAGCGGCAAGGCGGGUGGUUGUCGGUUUGUGCAAGAAGUUCCCCGAGAUGUUCGACGGGCCGUGGAGGGAGCUUGAGGUGGCGGCCGGGCUGAACUCCUCCGGGAAGGAGGAUGGUGAUGUUGAAGACGGAGCCGACGAGAAGCUUGCGAUGACAAGGGCCACCGUGGCGUGAGCGUUCGUGGCAACUGGCGAAAUCGGUUUUGAAUGGCAGCGUUGCAUCAUCAUUCAAAUAAGCAAAUUCACAGUACCACAAUAACAUUUGAGUAUUAGCUACUUGUUCAUCCUAUUUGGUGUUCUUUGGAAAUUUACUCGUUUAAUCUGGUAUUAAUCUUCUAGCGUCGUAUCUCACUGUAACACAUGGCUUGUUUCUGGUCUGGUGUCCCAUGGCCCACAACUCGGAGAUGGGUACAAGAGCAGCAUCAGAGAGAUGGGGAGGGGAGAAGAAAAGAAUCGGGUCUUAUCCCCUUCCGUCGCCGGCUUCCGUCCGAAGGCGGAUUCAGCUUGCGGUGCGCUCACGUCCCGGUGGAACCAUCACAAAUGACACCGACAACCUCAGCGCCGAACCCGUUUUUGACGAUGUGGUGUUCGAGGACAUUGAGACCAACUUCGACGACCUCGCCGAGCUCGACAAGGGACCGGUGUUCGACACUGAUUCGAUCACCGACCAUAUCACCGUCUCCGUGACAUGGUCGGUGAUUCUGAGUUCACCGUCUUCGACACCGACUCGGACAGGUCGUUGUCGGUAUUUGACACCGAGCCGGUCCAUGAUGUCGUGCUUGCCGUGUUCAACCAAGGAAACGAUGGCUCCUCGACUGCACACACCGGCGUCCUCAACGGGCACCCUGCCUUUGACGUGGAGCUCGUAUUUGAUAGUAUCUUUAACACUAGUGCGCCCUUCAUGUGUUUGACAAAUUGUCUGAGCUACAUCGAUGACAUGGUGUCUGCUACUUUUAAGGAGGGGCCUAUCUUUGAUAAAUGGUGUCUGCUACUUUUAAGGAGGGGCCUAUCUUUGAUAAGGAGGCUGUAGUAGAAGCAAUACAGGAGGAAAGUGGCAGAGAUUACUAUACUGCUCACGGUGAGAAUGCCAUGUUUAUUGC